UCCGAUAUGGUCUAGUGGUCAGGAUUUGCCGCUCUCAUCGCAGAGUAACGAUUAACUUCGCACCGGCAAGGCCCGGGUUCGAUUCCCGGUGUCGGAA